UGCCCACAGGCAAGCAUUCUAUCGGGACAAGGAACAAGCAGCCUUCAGCGGAAUCAAAUGCCAGCUCCAUGAGGAUGAAUGAGAAUUACUACUUAUCACCAGAGAGGUUUUAAAGAUCCCUAUGCAAUUUUACUUCAACUGCACAUUAGUAGAAAUUUAUGAAUCCCAGCAAGAAAAAUUCUAAAAUUAGUAUUAAAAAUCAAAACCUAAUUUCUUAGAAGACUCAGCCUACAGGUACCAGUAACUUCCAGAUUUGACAGAGACAGAAGUGUUCAGGGCCAGUAGAGGAAACUGAUCAGAACGACUGCUCUCUGUGCCUCCUGCUCUUAAACUCUCAGCAGCUGAAGCACGAGCACAGCAGCAUUAGCACACACCAGG